rnacentral:rRNA from 1 species
UGGGGAAUUUUGGACAAUGGGCGAAAGCCUGAUCCAGCAAUGCCGCGUGUGUGAAGAAGGCCUUCGGGUUGUAAAGCACUUUUGUCCGGAAAGAAAUCCUUGGCUCUAAUACAGUCGGGGGAUGACGGUACCGGAAGAAUAAGCACCGGCUAACUACGUGCCAGCAGCCGCGGUAAUACGUAGGGUGCAAGCGUUAAUCGGAAUUACUGGGCGUAAAGCGUGCGCAGGCGGUUUGCUAAGACCGAUGUGAAAUCCCCGGGCUCAACCUGGGAACUGCAUUGGUGACUGGCAGGCUAGAGUAUGGCAGAGGGGGGUAGAAUUCCACGUGUAGCAGUGAAAAUGCGUAGAGAUGUGGAGGAAUACCGAUGGCGAAGGCAGCCCCCUGGGCCAAAUACUGACGCUCAUGCACGAAAAGCGUGGGGAGCAAAACAGGAUUAGAUACCCUGGUAGUCCACGCCCUAAAACGAUGUCAACUAGUUGUUGGGGAUUCAUUUCCUUAGUAACGUAGCUAACGCGUGAAGUUGACCGCCUGGGGAGUACGGUCGCAAGAUUAAAACUCAAAGGAAUUGACGGGGUCAUAGCUGUUUCCU